rnacentral:rRNA from 1 species
UACGGGGGGGGCAAGCGUUGUUCGGAAUUACUGGGCGUAAAGGGCUCGUAGGCGGCCAACUAAGUCAGACGUGAAAUCCCUCGGCUUAACCGGGGAACUGCAUCUGAUACUGGAUGGCUUGAGUUUGGGAGAGGGAUGCGGAAUUCCAGGUGUAGCGGUGAAAUGCGUAGAUAUCUGGAGGAACACCGGUGGCGAAGGCGGCAUCCUGGACCGACAUUGACGCUGAGGCGCGAAAGCCAGGGGAGCAAACGGG